rnacentral:rRNA from 1 species
GAGCUAAGCAUAUCAAUAAGCGGAGGAAAAGAAACCAACAGGGAUUGCCUCAGUAACGGCGAGUGAAGCGGCAACAGCUCAAAUUUGAAACCUGCCAACAGGCCGGAUUGUAAUUUGUAGAGGAUGCUUUGGGGUAGGCACUGAUCUAAGUUUCUUGGAACAGUACGUCACAGAGGGUGAGAAUCCCGUUCGUGGUCGGUUGCCUGCUCCGUGUAAAGCUCCUUCGACGAGUCGAGUUGUUUGGGAAUGCAGCUCAAAAUGGGUGGUAAAUUUCAUCUAAAGCUAAAUAUUGGCCAGAGACCGAUAGCGCACAAGUAGAGUGAUCGAAAGAUGAAAAGCACUUUGGAAAGAGAGUUAAACAGCACGUGAAAUUGUUGAAAGGGAAGCGCUUGCAAUCAGACUUGCGCGUAGGUAAUCAAGGGCGGUUCGCUGCCCUGCACUUGCCUGCGCUCAGGCCAGCAUCAGUUCUGGGGGUGGGAGAAAGGCCGUUGGAAUGUGGCUCUUCGGAGUGUUAUAGCCUUCGGUGCCAUGCUGCCUCCCGGGACUGAGGACCGCGCUUCGGCUAGGAUGCUGGCGUAAUGAUUGUAAGCGACCCGUCUUGAAACACGGACCAAGGAGUCUAACAUCUAUGCGAGUGUUUGGGUGUCAAACCCACACGCGGAAUGAAAGUGAACGGAGGUGAGAACCCUUGAGGGUGCAUCAUCGACCGAUCCUGAUGUCUUCGGAUGGAUUUGAGUAUGAGCAUAGCUGUUGGGACCCGAAAGAUGGUGAACUAUGCCUGAAUAGGGUGAAGCCAGAGGAAACUCUGGUGGAGGCUCGCAGCGGUUCUGACGUGCAAAUCGAUCGUCAAAUUUGGGCAUAGGGGCGAAAGACUAAUCGAACCAUCUAGUAGCUGGUUUCCUGCCGAAGUCCCCCCCUCAAGGAAA